CUCUGGCUCCCUUGGCUCUAACACACACCUGCCUUCUCUUCCUGGAAUGCUCCUUGGAUAUAUGCCUGGAUUGUUCCUUCAUCUCUGUUCGGUGGCCCAGGUAAAGUUCAGAGCAUGAGGACAACCUACGUGCCAUUAUACGAGGAGUAUUUUGAAGAACAGAGGUUCACCAUGAUGAUUCUGUAGGGGUGAGGGGUAAGUGCCCGGCUUCAGGAA
rnacentral:lncRNA from 1 species